AUGUCACCCCACUUCCACACCGUCUUCCAGUUGAAGCUCAAAUUGGCGGUUAACUAUGGCGUUCGCCCUCCUCCCCCAGGUGUCUGUGAGGUGAACGGAGGUCAGGUGGGACGGACCAGAGACCUGGAUCAGGAAGAGACCGGCCCAGUGGGGUCACCCCUCAUCACCCUGGGUCCCCUGGAGAACAAGAGCUGUGGAGGGGACGAGCUGUCUGAUGGGGUACAGUCUAUGGAUGUCAGCCCAGUGUCCAGGGAUGAGAUGGGUAGCGUUCAGGAGUUCUCUCCUGUUAGCGAAGGGUUGAACAGCAUGAGCAACGGCCGGACCCUGGAGCACCUGCUCGGCAUCACCUCCCAGCCUGACACGCCCCCCUACCAGGCUGGCAGUGCCGCAGCUCUAGGUGACCUCAACAAGAAUCUGCUGAUACAGGGUUAUGACCCUGCCUCCUUAACAAGCUCCUCCUCCAGCUCCGCCCAGCUUCUCCACAGCCUCAGCCCUGGGAAACUGGAUGUCUAGGAAAGAGGGCUCUGUACAGGACUACUGGCAGAGAGAGAAACCAGCUCCUGGCAUCUCCGCCCUCACCCUAGAUUAAGUGAGAGAACCACCACAGUGAAGAAAAGCCGCACAAUGGCUGUCUCCUACUCAACUUCACAACUCAACACAACCACAGCUGAAUUUCCCCACGUAGAGGCAAACACAUGGUUAAGAAUCUCCCUUUCCCCCCGUGUAGAGACACAAACACACAGUCAAUACUCUCCCAGUAAGGCCUUUUCUCUGUGUCCUGGCUGUAUGAUGUUGUGUAGGCGCGGGGGUGUUGGGAGACUGAUCACGUAACAAAAGGGCUGUGGUAACCUGCUGUAGCUGUUCUCCUGUGGUUAACACUGACCCUGUACCGUAUUUCGCUGCAGAACCGCUCUGCUGCUGUCUGAGGCGUGCUCAUGGCUGUUGGCUCGAUGUGGGGAGGUGUUGUCACUAACCACAGAUGCAGAAUCAGAUCACCAAAAUGCUCAAAAAUCCUAACUGGAGGACUGAUGAAAAUAUAAUCUCACCCUGUAUCAGUGGCUAGGGUCAACAUCGUCCUACUGGUCGUAACGGCGGUGCUUAGAAGGUCCUCUUCCCGUAACUAGAGAAAUCUACUCAUCGAAAGAGAGAGUUGACAUAGUAACAGACAGAUGUCUAGCCUUUGUUGAUAUGCUGCUGUAUGCCACUUAAUAGCUUUAGUGAUGCAUCAAAAUCACAAGUGGAAGACUUGAGAAGCAUAUAUGAAUAUAAUCUGUGCAAAAAGAUGAGAAGAGGCUUGUGUUCUUUUGGUUGCUGUUUGCAGGGUGGGGGGAUAUUGACAAAAGUGGCGUGUGUGGUUUUAGCUCACUCACUGUGCUGUGGGUGUUAGUUUGUAGUUAAGUUGUGCACUGUCUGUUUUUGUAACUAGGCUUCGAUAACAUUCUGCUCUCAUCUUUAAGAAUUGCAAUCUUUAUUUUGCUUCUAUACUGAAUUGUAACAAACCUAGCAACUUCCGGUGUCCUGGAGGGCUACUGGGUGUGCAGGCUUUUGUGCAAGCCCUACAUCAGUAAACCAGUCCAGAAAGAGGGUGACUAAUCAGAUGUAGAUUCAAGUGGAUUUGGAGCAAGGAUGGAACCAAGGACUGCAUGCCCAGGCCAGCAGCUGUCUCUGGUUAGAGAACCCUGUUCUACAGUAUCUUCAUUGGUCUGUUUAUUCAUUGACUCAGUCAACUUGGAAAACUCUGGUGCGCAACAGUUAUAAUCACUUUAAUCUCUUUGUAGGCAGCCACGUAAAAGUCAAGCUUCUUAGCUAUUGCGCACAACCUCAGUUCUGAGGUAACCAAGAGUAUAAUCACAACGACUGGGCCUUUUAAGUCAGAAGAUAAAUCAGUCUGCUGACUAGCUACUACUGCUGUGAAUUCUAUCAAUAAUACAAGCUUCCUGUGCUGUAACUGUCCUGUAACUGGUCUUACCUGUAACACGUGUCUACCGCUUUGCUCUCAGGGUGGAUGCUCAGCAUGUGUGCGUCCUCCCCGCCUUGACGGUUGCCAUUUCAGUUCCUUCUGAAGGCCACUGUGGAGCGGGGUGUCAAUCAUUAUUUAUGAAGUCGAUGGGCUCGGAGUAUUGUGUAUUAAUGACCAUAAUAUUAAUGCUGUAUCCCAAUUACGGGACUGGAAUAGUCUUCGGUGCACUGGACUCUUGAUUUAUUUGCCAUAUCUGUCUGUCUUUCAUUCAGUGUGUCCACCUCUCUGGAAUUGUUCAUGAACUCGUGCUUUCAGACAUUGCAUCCUAAGGGUUUCGUGCCCACCAGGGUUUCUAAACUGAGUAAAAUUAUUAAGACUUAAGGUCAGAAUGUUAUUCACUAAAAGUAACUUAACACUGAUGUCACUGCAGCUUGGUGGAAUAUGUAACUGUAGACGUGGUGCAUGGAUCUAACUGCUGAAAUACAACAAUAAAACAUUAUCCAGCAAAGUCUCCUACUUGGUUUAUUAUCCCCUGUAAUAAA
ensembl:lncRNA